rnacentral:tRNA from 1 species
GCCUGAAUAGCUUAGCCUGGUAGAGUAGGGGCCUGUGGAGCCCCUGACCCGGGUUCAAAUCCCGGUUCGGGCC